GUGGGGAAUCUUCCGCAAUGGACGAAAGUCUGACGGAGCAACGCCACGUGAGUGAAGAAGGUUUUCGGAUCGUAAAGCUCUUUCGUUAGGGACGAACGUGCUCUUUGUGAAUAAUGAGGAGUAAUGACGGUACCUAAAUAAGAAGCCACGGCUAACUACGUGCCAGCAGCCGCGGUAAUACGUAGGUGGCAAGCGUUGUCCGGAAUUAUUGGGCGUAAAGCGCGCGCAGGCGGGAUAUCAAGUCUGUCUUAAAAGUGCGAGGCUCAACCUCGUGAGGGGACAGAAACUGGUAUUCUUGAGUGUCGGAGAGGAAAGUGGAAUUCCAAGUGUAGCGGUGAAAUGCGUAGAGAUUUGGAAGAACACCAGUGGCGAAGGCGACUUUCUGGACGAUGUCUGACGCUGAGGCGCGAAAGCUAGGGGAGCGAACGGGAUUAGAUACCCGGGUAGUCC
rnacentral:rRNA from 1 species